UACAGAGGGUGCAAGCGUUGUUCGGAAUUAUUGGGCGUAAAGCACGUGUAGGCGGCCUUGCAAGUCGGGUGUGAAAGCCCUCAGCUCAACUGAGGAAGCGCGCCCGAAACUGCAGAGCUUGAGUACCGGAGAGGAUGGCGGAAUUCCCCAAGUAGAGGUGAAAUUCGUAGAUAUGGGGAGGAACACCGGUGGCGAAGGCGGCCAUCUGGACGGAUACUGACGCUGAGACGCGAAAGCGUGGGGAGCAAACAGG
rnacentral:rRNA from 1 species